GAUUUAACGUCCGUUUUUCUUCCCUCUUGUCUGACUUGUCAAACUUGACUUAUCUUCGUCGUGGCUGCUGGCGAAAAGAAAAGAAAAGAAAAGAAAAGAAAAGAAAAGAAAAGGGGGAGAGGGGAGUCACCCUUAAAGGAAAACUACAAACCACCCGAAGCAGAUGGCAGAGGCGAGCAGGAUUGCGAGCAGGACUGUGCGAGUGAGAGGCCUGCCGGCAGACGGCUCCUUGAGCAAUUAACCGGCCAUUUCCUGCGAUCCAGAAACGGCGGAGGGGAAAUAGAGUCUGUUCGAGUGGACCCAACAAACCCCAACUGUGCCCUGGUCCAGUUUAAAGACAGUGCAGUGGCCCAGACUCAACCAUGACCCACUGCAAAGUCAACUUCAGCCUGCCUGGUCACAACAAGCACGCCACCAUCAAGGUCACCUACCUGGGAUACAAAAAGUGGGUGUUAGCUCUUUGUAAAAAUACAUCAUAAUCAUCAUACGAUUUGCUCUGAAUGAUUGCCAGGAGCGUCAAGGGCAUUAUGCGUAAAUCCUAUUUUGCCUGCCUGCUGGUAAUUGUACUAUGAACUGUAUACAUUUGUGGCUUGAAUCUAAAAGUGAAGAAAUGAGUUCAUGCUUUCUUUUCAUUGCAUGUUUUUGCACUUGAGAAUUCCUCCGUGUCGUAAAGUUAAGCCAAUUGCGAAGGACAAUGAGAUGUUCCGGCCUGUAAUUAAUAUCUUUGUUGUUGCAAAUGUUAAAAAGAAGUUAAUCAACUCGGUCAGUGAUCUGAUUUUAUUAUGCAAAAUAUUGGAAUCGGCAUCAGCCUAGGCCUUAGUUAAAGCCGGUCUUGAUUGAAUCGGACCAAUUAAAAAAAACAACAACAGACGUUUUUCCAAUUUCUUGUUAUGCUUUUUUUUUUUUUUUAUUAGUCCUGGAAAACAUGUAAGGCAUAUGGUAACAUUACACACUGAAGCGUUACAAGCUGUAGCGGCCCACUCGGAGCCUACCCGGAGUCGAGCACAGAAAGAAGCAGCAUCGAUUCAAAAAGGGUUUUUUCCCCAAAAAAUCAAAUUUGAAAACAACAACAAAAGUGGUUUUGAUUGGCGUCGUGUUUUUUUGUGGAGGGUUGCGGUGGAUACAAAGUUACACAAGACGCGCAUCAAUGGUCACGUUUGAGGAAAGCCCGUGUUUCAAUGGUGAGCGUUUGGAUGUGGGGGACGAGGGCCGGCGCAUUCCUAGACUUAGGUGGCUGCCCGUGCCGGAGGCUUCGCUUGGCAACUUGACACGUGACUUAUUCUUUCUCACACCACAUGAACACUAAACUAA